rnacentral:rRNA from 1 species
CGCUUCCUCCCGCACGCCUCCUCCUCUCUCCCUCCCUCCCGCAGCCGCCUCCCUCCCUCCCGCGCGCCUCCUCUCCUCCCCCCGCCUCCCGCAGCCACAUCGCCGCCGCCGCCACCCGCCUCCCCACUCGGGCGAACCCCUCUCCUCUUCCCCCGCCUCGCCUCUCUCCCUUCCCCCGUCCAAACCCUAGGCCCGCGCCCGCCAGCCGCCGCCGCCGCCGCUCGCCCAGGCCAUCCUCCCGCUGUGAAGGAAGCGGCCAGAGAGGAAGGGCGUCGCCGGGUGUGCAUGUGCCUCCGCGGAUUCGUGCCACGGUUGCCGGAGGCGUGGGCGCCGCGGGUCACCUCUCCAGAUCGGUGGAGGCCAAGGGCAAGGGCAAGGAGGAGGGGAGAAGAAGACCUUCGGCCAGCUGCGGGAAGCCGGCGCUGGCGUCCUCCGCGGCAUCCACCGGCGCCGGUGGCGGGCAGAAGCGCCAGUGCCACGACCACGCGCACUCCGAGAACGUCGCCGGCGGAAAGUACGGCCGGCUUCGUCUGCUCCAAGCGCAGGAAGUCCCGGGUUCGGCGGAUGACUCGCGUGCCGGCAAUCAGCUCGAAGGCGGCGGAUAUCCCCGCGGACGACUUCUCGUGGCGCAAGUACGGGCAGAAGCUGCCUGUGGAGAAUGCCCUGGACUCAGCAGUUGACGUAACUCGGUUGAGCUGCGGUGCACUAUAUUUAGCUGAUUUUAUUGGGAAGGCUGCAUUACAGGAGAUGGAUACGAAGUCCUCGGAGGAGGAAUACAAAGCUCUACAAGGUGAUGGAGCUGGAGAUGUGUAUUUCCAGUCUCUUGAAGAACGAAUCAUUAAUAUGAAGAUUUUGCAGGGAUGUAUAUAUAUGGUCAUGUUUCACUGGGAUCCUCAACUGUUCCAGUUCGUAUUUAGCAGGAUCACAUGUUGACCAAUGACUCAAAUUAAUUUUCUCACUGAUCCAGUUAACUCAAGAACUUGUGACCCAGUUCUAGGACAACUGUGGACUAAGGGAUGGAGGUUGAUUUAUCAGCGGUUACAGGCAUGCAUGCUUUAUGGUGGCAAGCAUUAUAUAUCAUUGAAGACUUUCCAUUUGUUCAAGUUCCUGAUAUGCUAAUCGGUAACCUUUAGAUUUGUUUGGAGAGUUCUGUCCAUCCAAGCACCAUGCGUAUGUGGCCAGUGAGUUUGCAUUGUGUAGAAAAUUAUUGCUACUAAAAGAAAUGAAAUUGUUUUCUUCGUCCUUGUUUCAAACCAACUAAUAAACUAGAUGCUUGGAAGACUCUUUUCACUAUAUAGUUCAUGUAUGCACCUCUACUUGAUAAUCAUAAAUAGUUUGAUCACACCAUUCUUUCAAAAAAUAAACAAUCUACUAAAAACAACCAGCAGAUGAUGUAUCUGAAGGCAUUUCGUUUCAGGUGAUAUGUUCGUGACUUAAUUUUGUGGCCUACACAACUAAUGCAGAGGUUAUAUAAGUGUAGAGCAGUGAUUUAGGAUAUGAUGUUUUUUAAAUACCUUUCGCGAAUGUUUGUUUGAACUCCGUUCCGAGACCACAUACUUUAGGAAAUUUUUCUUAUGUUUCAACCAAAUAAGCUCUCAAAGGAUUAGCAAGCACAUGGACCAUUCCGAUUAAACUAUUUGUUCUAGGUCACAAUUGAAGUAUUGAUGUGUUCUGCCCAACGUUCAUUACACCGAGUCAUGUAUUAUUUUUUCUGAACAUACAUUAUAUUUUCUAGAAAUUUCUCCUCUGUUAGAGAAACAUAUAAAUUCUUCUGUCUUUUUAUUACAUGAUACAACCUAAGGAAAUUGGAACGACUGGUUUAUGUGGGAAACUGACGGGCUAAAGCUCAAAAGCUCACACCUGGAUGUUUUUUGUCACACCUUCAAAAUCGUGUAGAAGAAACGCUUACAAAAAGAAGAAAGAGACCUGGUUUGCCUUCCUUGCUGGCGUCCUUGUCAUCUCCAACCCGCCCACGGGGUGCUCAAGGGGUUCGGCCAAGUCGGAUGCCAGGCGGUGCGCGCAGCUGAGGAGCACUGGCAGCAGGCGCUUGAUGCGGCGCUCCCCGCGUCUCCGCUGCUCAUUCGCGGCUCCUCCUCCUCCCCAACGGAUCACGACUGAACCUUCCUUGUGCCAGCACCUCGUGGCCAUGAAGGGUGGCUGAGCCAUCAGGAGCGGCGGCGGGGCCUGCUGCGGAUGCUGCUGCGGCUCCCUCCUCUUCCUCGCCGGCUUCUACCUGCUUUGUGCCGACGCCAUGUACAUCGUGUCAUCCCGGUGCUUCUGCUUUCCCGGGUCGCAACUCUUUGGUGUGCUCGACAAGGCCAGGACACACAUUCUGGAGAGCUCCUUGGUCAGUCCAUCACGAGAACCGGCAGCUACCGGAUUCCUUUUGUGCUGCUGGAAAGGAGGCACAUUGUUCCCAUGCUCGUGCUCUAUGGGUAGAAGCUGCAAAUUCUGGAGGUAUCAGACGAGGGUAUUCGAAGAAGACACCAUGAAUGGCAGCAGACUCUACCGCUUCCAUUACAAUGGUAUUCGAAAAAGAUACCACCUUGUGGCCUUUCCUGUUUCCUGUGACUACGACUUCCAACUCUUUAACUGGGUUGGUGUCAAAAGAAAUUCUGUAACAGAGACACAAUAAAAUAAAUUGGUACAACUAUAUGGAUUCCUUGGUAAGCUCAUGAUUCAUCUGGCUAAGCAGUCUUAGUAGACCGCCAAUGUUGUGUUAUUAAGAUGCAGGUUUCAAUAACCUUCAUGUUUGCGGCUAAAAUAAUGUAGUUAUCUCGGUAGUCUAGGUAGAUUGAAAUAAUUGUUUAUCCUUGAAGCAAAUCAACUAAACAACUGCCAGUAGAUGAUGAGGUGCCUUCUGCAAACAAAAAAGCUAAGCUCCAAGCGAGUAUUUUUAGGCGACCUAUCUUUUUCGGUGAUUUGUUUAAUCCUUCCUCUGCUCAAUUGAUGUGAACCACAAACCUUGCUCUGCUAAAUUGAUGUGAACCACAAUCCUUGCUCUGCUCAAUUGAUCUUCCCAGCAAAUCAAUGAACAUGUGCCCAUAGGGACACAGUCAAAGGUGCGCUUGUCAACUUAAUGGUUUUCAUCCAUAGUGCUUUGCCAUUAUUUUUAUUUUUAUUGUUUUUCUCAUUUGCCACUGUUGCGCAUUCUUUCUAGGACCAGUAUAUACAUCAUGAUUUUCUUUGUAUGUAAUUGUUAUUUAUACUUGAAGCAAGGUAUCUGAAGACCUGAUGGGAAAUGAGGAGGUGCCCUUUGCAACUAAAAAGACUAAGUUGGAGACCAAGUGCCCUUAGGCAACGCGCCCUUUUGGAUCGUAGCGUAUUAGUUGCGGAUGUGCAGAAAAUGUUGAUUUAGCGGAUGGAUUGCCUUUUCCAUCUGGGAUCGCUUUUGUUGCGACCUGUCGCUUAUAAUAGAGUGAUUUGUUUUGCUGAUCCUGGCCAAGUGGAAUCUACUGUCUGUCAAUGUCCAAAUGCUGCAGUCAGUAGUUAGUGUGACAUGGAUCUUGACUAAUGUAUCCCAUCAGUUUAGCCGUGUGUUGCUAGCUGAUGUGAAAGUAUGUGUGAUUACCAUACUUAUUAUGAUUAUGGAUGUUGCUACAUGUUUCAUUAGCUAAAUUUUACCUAUGCAUUCUGCCUGUGGAUGCCAUUUCCUCUGUUCUUGUAUGUGUUUUAUACAUGCUUCAGAUUUGGAUCAUAUAAAAUGCCCUUUUGGGAAUGACCGAGGUAAGUUUCACUGGCAUCUUAUAAGAGUAUCAAGC